GACGAACGCUGGCGGCGUGCCUAAUACAUGCAAGUAGAACGCUGAAGGAGGAGCUUGCUCUUCUGGAUGAGUUGCGAACAGGUGAGUAACGCGUAGGUAACCUGCCUGGUAGCGGGGGAUAACUAUUGGAAACGAUAGCUAAUACCGCAUAAGAGUAGAUGUUGCAUGACAUUUGCUUAAAAGGUGCAAUUGCAUCACUACCAGAUGGACCUGCGUUGUAUUAGCUAGUUGGUGGGGUAACGGCUCACCAAGGCGACGAUACAUAGCCGACCUGAGAGGGUGAUCGGCCACACUGGGACUGAGACACGGCCCAGACUCCUACGGGAGGCAGCAGUAGGGAAUCUUCGGCAAUGGACGGAAGUCUGACCGAGCAACGCCGCGUGAGUGAAGAAGGUUUUCGGAUCGUAAAGCUCUGUUGUAAGAGAAGAACGAGUGUGAGAGUGGAAAGUUCACACUGUGACGGUAUCUUACCAGAAAGGGACGGCUAACUACGUG
rnacentral:rRNA from 1 species